ensembl:snRNA U1 U1 spliceosomal RNA
CAACUUGCCUGGCAGGGGAGAUACCACGAUCACGAAGGUGGUUUUCCCAGGGUGAAGCUCAUCCAUUGCCCUGCAGAUGUGCUGACCCCCUGUGAUUACCCAAAAUGUGAGAAACUCGACUGCAUAAUUUGUGAUAGUGGGGGACUGUAUUCAUGCUUUCCCCUG